rnacentral:lncRNA from 10 species
GAAGGAAUUGUCUUUGACCUUAACUUGUUUUUUUAUCUACUGUGUAGAUCAUUAAGAAAUUUUCUACAGAUAUCAACCAAACCCUUAACACCUAAACCACCACCCCCACAAAACAAAAAUGAAAAAAAAAUACAUACAUAUAUAUAUAUGCCAAGCCAGAGAAGAGAAUAGCCAACGGGUUGUCCUGAAAUUCAUAAACAACUUAAAGGUAAGCAAAGAAUCACCCAUCUUUUACUAACAUCCUCUCCCUCCCAACCUCUUCUCUCCCACCUUUCCACCCCUCAUCCCAGGCAAAUCCUAGUAAGGCUCUGAAGGAAGGAAAUUAUUACACAGUGGGGGCUAUGGAAUCAUUCUGUUUACAGAUGCCCCAUAUUUGAUCCCAGUCAGCCUCUAGGGUGCAAACAUCAGAACCAAAAACAAACACGACUGUCAGAGGGGAAGUAGGGAAAGAAAAUUCUCCAAAUCCUCUGAUCCCUAAAUUUUCCAAAUACACUUUUUUAACAGAGUGGUAUACUAGAAUGUGUAGUGAUUUUGGUGUCAGACACAUACCAACACUACCAGUUCCAGUUCUGUCAUGUAUAUAUAGCUUUAUGACCCUGGGGAAGUUAUGUAACAUUUUUGAACUUCAGUUUUCUCCUGCCUGCCUUGCUGGUUGUUGAAGAUUGGAGAUAAAGAGACUGGC